rnacentral:rRNA from 1 species
AGAGUUUGAUCCUGGCUCAGAUUGAACGCUGGCGGCAUGCCUUACACAUGCAAGUCGAACGGCAGCAUGAUCUAGCUUGCUAGAUUGAUGGCGAGUGGCGAACGGGUGAGUAAUACAUCGAAACGUGCCCUGUAGUGGGGGAUAACUAGUCGAAAGAUUAGCUAAUACCGCAUACGACCUGAGGGUGAAAGUGGGGGACCGCAAGGCCUCAUGCUAUAGGAGCGGCCGAUGUCUGAUUAGCUAGUUGGUGAGGUAAAGGCUCACCAAGGCGACGAUCAGUAGCUGGUCUGAGAGGACGAUCAGCCACACUGGGACUGAGACACGGCCCAGACUCCUACGGGAGGCAGCAGUGGGGAAUUUUGGACAAUGGGCGAAAGCCUGAUCCAGCAAUGCCGCGUGUGUGAAGAAGGCCUUCGGGUUGUAAAGCACUUUUGUCCGGAAAGAAAUGGNCUCUGGUUAAUACCUGGGGUCGAUGACGGUACCGGAAGAAUAAGGACCGGCUAACUACGUG